rnacentral:snRNA from 1 species
GGAUGAGGGCGAUCUGGCUGCAAUAUCUGUCACCCCAUCAGUCACCAAGGUUGGUUAGCUCAUCUGGCUGGUGUCCCCGUCCUCCCUCACCGCUCCACGUGCGUCCCUCCUGAAGCUGUGCGCUUGGCUGAAGAGGACCACCACCUCUAAUAGAGGAGGAGCAGUCUUCGGUCCAGGGUAUAUGCGUAGCUGCACCCCCCUGCUAGAACCUCCAAACAAGCUCUCAAAUACACCUAUUUUUUUGAAGUCCCUCAUCUUAUCACCCACUUCUUUUAUUUUAUUAAGUAUAUUAAA